rnacentral:rRNA from 1 species
AGUUUGAUCCUGGCUCAGGAUGAACGCUAGCUACAGGCUUAACACAUGCAAGUCGAGGGGCAGCAUCAUCAAAGCUUGCUUUGAUGGAUGGCGACCGGCGCACGGGUGAGUAACACGUAUCCAACCUGCCGACAACACUGGGAUAGCCUUUCGAAAGAAAGAUUAAUACCGGAUGGCAUAGUUUUCCCGCAUGGGAUAAUUAUUAAAGAAUUUCGGUUGUCGAUGGGGAUGCGUUCCAUUAGGCAGUUGGCGGGGUAACGGCCCACCAAACCAACGAUGGAUAGGGGUUCUGAGAGGAAGGUCCCCCACAUUGGAACUGAGACACGGUCCAAACUCCUACGGGAGGCAGCAGUGAGGAAUAUUGGUCAAUGGACGAGAGUCUGAACCAGCCAAGUAGCGUGAAGGAUGACUGCCCUAUGGGUUGUAAACUUCUUUUAUACGGGAAUAAAGUUAGCCACGUGUGGCUUUUUGUAUGUACCGUAUGAAUAAGGAUCGGCUAACUCCGUGCCAGCAGCCGCGGUAAUACGGAGGAUCCGAGCGUUAUCCGGAUUUAUUGGGUUUAAAGGGAGCGUAGGCGGGUUGUUAAGUCAGUUGUGAAAGUUUGCGGCUCAACCGUAAAAUUGCAGUUGAUACUGGCGACCUUGAGUGCAACAGAGGUAGGCGGAAUUCGUGGUGUAGCGGUGAAAUGCUUAGAUAUCACGAAGAACUCCGAUUGCGAAGGCAGCUUACUGGAUUGUAACUGACGCUGAUGCUCGAAAGUGUGGGUAUCAAACAGGAUUAGAUACCCUGGUAGUCCACACAGUAAACGAUGAAUACUCGCUGUUGGCGAUAUACUGUCAGCGGCCAAGCGAAAGCAUUAAGUAUUCCACCUGGGGAGUACGCCGGCAACGGUGAAACUCAAAGGAAUUGACGGGGGCCCGCACAAGCGGAGGAACAUGUGGUUUAAUUCGAUGAUACGCGAGGAACCUUACCCGGGCUUAAAUUGCAACUGACUGAAUCGGAAACGGUUCUUUCUUCGGACAGUUGUGAAGGUGCUGCAUGGUUGUCGUCAGCUCGUGCCGUGAGGUGUCGGCUUAAGUGCCAUAACGAGCGCAACCCUUACGGGUAGUUACCAUCAGGUUAUGCUGGGGACUCUACCCGGACUGCCGUCGUAAGAUGUGAGGAAGGUGGA